rnacentral:lncRNA from 1 species
GGAAAAAAAAAAUAAUGAUAAAAAAAUCCGCUAAUCCGGAAACUUAAAACAACCAUUUAGGGUCCUGUUUAAUUACGAACCCAAAUCCGAAAUCUAAACCUCGACACGUUAGUUGCGGAAUAAGAUUAGUAAAGGGUGUGAUAGUGACCAAUUCAACACAAGGAUAUAUGCUAGUAGUCGAAAGGAUAUACGAGGAGGAAGAUAUAAGGAUGCACACAAGAAUUGCUGUGAAUGAAUGAGAACUCCGCCAUCGCUUCUUUCGCUAGCAGUUGACUCAGCUGUCGUUAAUCUCGCCUCUUACUCCGAUCUCUCUUUUCUACCUGAACACAUUCUCAUUGACCUCUUCCUGGUAUUCUCUCUCUC